GUGUGAGAAAAAGGUGUCCAGAAGUGUCCAAAACGCUUGUAUAACGUGUGCAAUUGGUAGUUCUUUCAUAGUAUACCUUUGUGGUGUCUUCUCCUAGCCUUUGUGGCGAUAAAUCAUCAUCCCUUCUUGUCCUACGUGGGUAAGAUUGUAUAGCAACCAAGGUGAAUCAAUUGGUUGUGGUUUGGAGCCGUUUGGAUUGGUUGUUGGUAGAGAAAGGUACGUUGGACUGAGCCUGGAAAAUCACCGUUUGAAGAUCCUUUUGAGAGAGCUUCCGCAACAAUUGGUAUCAGAGCUUCAAGGUGAAGGUUUUGGCUCGAGAAAUCUACCAGAAAUCGUCCAAAAAAUCGGCAGAAACGAGGCAGAAAUCAGAUCGAAAAACUGUCCAGAAAACUGUUAAAAAUCAGCCACUGUUUUGGUGUUUUCUGACCAAUCCAGAAGGAGUUUGGUGAAAAGGAGGCCGGAUUCGUGAUCUGCAGGUGGAGGCGGUGCUGUGUGACCGGCGCGUGUGGGAGACGGACGCCGGCGGCGGCGGCGCGUGGCUUCUCCGGCGUGGCGCGUGUGGGCGUGUGCGGCAGUUUCUGGGGAAGCUUCCUUCAAACAGUUUGUUCCUUGUAUUAUUUCUAACAUUUUUCGUGUUGGAAGUUUUCUGUUUCAGGGUACG
rnacentral:lncRNA from 1 species